rnacentral:rRNA from 1 species
AUGGUUCGCAAGAAGGUGCCCCUCCGGUACAUUGGUGAGGACUCCACCCGUCGCCGUACCUACGAGACGCGGCGCAAAUACCUGAUGAAGAAGGUGGGUGAGCUGGGCAUCUUGUGCAACACCAAGGCCUGCGUGCUGGUGUAUGACGAGGGCGCGUCAGAGCCGGAUGUUUACCCAUCCCAUGCCGAGGCGGUGGCUAUGCUAAAUCGGUACAAGGCCAUGCCGAACAUGCCGCAGUUCAAGAAGACGACGAGCCAGGAGGAGUUCCUCACCAAGUGCCUCGCCAAGCUCCAGCAUCAGGCCAACAAGCUCCAGAGCGAGCGUGAGGACCGCAACAUCAGGGCCCUCCUGCACAAGGCCAUGCUCGGUGGCAACCUCAACGCCGAGGAGGUCGCCAGGGUUGGUUGUAAGCCGGGGGAGAUCCACAAGAGCCUCGUCGAGCGCAUCGCUAAAACCAACUCGCAGCCACCGCCAUCGGUCUUCCAGCCCCAGAUGCCAAACGGGGGCCACGGCGCCCUAGCCUAUAAUGGAAAUGGCUACAAUACUGGUGGCCACGACGGCGCCGGCACCAGCUCAAGCGCCAACUUCCUCGAUGAUGAUAUGAUGCAGUUCUGGGACGAUAUGGAGUUCGGGUUGUAG